rnacentral:rRNA from 1 species
GUCGAGCGGACCGACGGGAGCUUGCUCCCUUAGGUCAGCGGCGGACGGGUGAGUAACACGUGGGUAACCUGCCUGUAAGACUGGGAUAACUCCGGGAAACCGGGGCUAAUACCGGAUGCUUGAUUGAACCGCAUGGUUCAAUCAUAAAAGGUGGCUUUUAGCUACCACUUACAGAUGGACCCGCGGCGCAUUAGCUAGUUGGUGAGGUAACGGCUCACCAAGGCGACGAUGCGUAGCCGACCUGAGAGGGUGAUCGGCCACACUGGGACUGAGACACGGCCCAGACUCCUACGGGAGGCAGCAGUAGGGAAUCUUCCGCAAUGGACGAAAGUCUGACGGAACAACGCCGCGUGAGUGAUGAAGGUUUUCGGAUCGUAAAACUCUGUUGUUAGGGAAGAACAAGUACCGUUCGAAUAGGGCGGUACCUUGACGGUACCUAACCAGAAAGCCACGGCUAACUACGUGCCAGCAGCCGCGGUAAUACGUAGGUGGCAAGCGUUGUCCGGAAUUAUUGGGCGUAAAGCGCGCGCAGGCGGUUUCUUAAGUCUGAUGUGAAAGCCCCCGGCUCAACCGGGGAGGGUCAUUGGAAACUGGGGAACUUGAGUGCAGAAGAGGAGAGUGGAAUUCCACGUGUAGCGGUGAAAUGCGUAGAGAUGUGGAGGAACACCAGUGGCGAAGGCGACUCUCUGGUCUGUAACUGACGCUGAGGCGCGAAAGCGU